UACGAGGGGGGCAAGCGUUGUUCGGAAUUAUUGGGCGUAAAGGGUGCGUAGGCGGCGCGGUAAGUCGGGUGUGAAAUCUUGGAGCUUAACUCCGAAACUGCAUUCGAUACUGCCGUGCUUGAGGACUGGAGAGGAGACUGGAAUUUACGGUGUAGCGGUGAAAUGCGUAGAUAUCGUAAGGAAGACCAGUGGCGAAGGCGGGUCUCUGGACAGUUCCUGACGCUGAGGCACGAAGGCCAGGGGAGCAAACGGG
rnacentral:rRNA from 1 species